rnacentral:rRNA from 1 species
GCUUUUUGGGUUUAAAAGGUAGGCUCUGCUCAGUGAUUUUUAACAGCCGCGGUAUUUUGACCGUGCAAAGGUAGCAUAAUCAUUUGCUUCGUAAUUGGGGGCUAGCAUGAAUGAGUUAACGAAGGCUCUACUUUAUUCUUUAGAUAUAAGUAAUUUUCUUUUUUAGUGAAGAAGCUAAAAUUUUUAAGGGGACAAGAAGACCCUUUUGAGCUUUACUGGCUUUCUUUUUGAUGUGGGUUAGUUUGGUUGGGGCGACCUAGGAGUAUCUUCCUUAAUAUGUUGAUCCACUUUUAGUGAUAGAAAGACUAAGUUACCAAAGGGAUAACAGCGUAAUCUUCUUUGAGAGCUCUUAUUAAAUAGGGGGAUUGCGACCUCGAUGUUGACUUAUAGUUUCCUUAAGGUGUAGCCGCUUUUAAGGUAGGUCUGUUCGACCUUUAAAACUUU